UCCGCUCUUGCGCACCGAAGUUAAGACCCCAGCGCGGGGAGAGCUCCAAGGCCCCGCCUCUGGUGGGGGUGGGGAAGAGCGGGUUCUUCGACUUGAGCUUGCGCCAGCCCCACGUGUGGGCGGCUUAAAGAUUGCAGGUGAGCAUGCUGUACCUACCCUUAAAGGCAUGGAGGAAAAAAAUAUUAAGCACUACAAAGAAAAUAAGUCACCUACUGAAGACUUGCUUCUGCCUUUGUGAAAGGGGGGGACACUGGUGAAUAAAGCCUGGAUCAGUG